rnacentral:rRNA from 1 species
UACGUAGGGUGCGAGCGUUGUCCGGAAUUAUUGGGCGUAAAGAGCGUGUAGGCGGUCCGGUAAGUCCGCUGUGAAAGUCGGGGGCUCAACCCUCGAAUGCCGGUGGAUACUGUCAAGCUCGAGUCCGGAAGAGGAGUGUGGAAUUCCUGGUGUAGCGGUGAAAUGCGCAGAUAUCAGGAGGAACACCAAUGGCGAAGGCAGCACUCUGGGACGUGACUGACGCUGAGACGCGAAAGCGUGGGGAGCAAACAGG